GAACAGGCUUCUCUGCUGACAGAGAUAGACAGACUGAAGCAGCUUCAUCAGCAGACACAGCAGAGAGAACAGAAAGUUCAAGCAGAACUCAAACACACACAGUCAAGGUUUGACAGUUUUCACAACCAGAUUGUCAAGACUGUGCAUGUUUCAGACAAAGAAUCAGACCAAAAGGUAAGAAAAUAUUUCAAGCCAAUCAGAAGCCACGUUUACAUCCAGGGAUCGGUGAACUGACUUGAGCUGAAUAAUGACACUGUUAUCUUCUGUAGAGCUGCUUUACAGCUUGAUUUAAAUUAAUUUCUUGAUUUAAAUUCAUUCAUUUCAAUUGAUGAAUUUUACAACAUUAGCUGCUAUUUUCCUGUUUGAUUAAUGUUGAUGCUUUGAAAUAAUUUGUUUUAUUAAUGUGAAGCUGCUUUGAGCAAUCUGUGUUGUAUACAGUAAAUGUGACUUAACUUGAACUCGAGAAUCAGAUAUAGUCAGGUGGACCACAUUUAUGAAAUCUUUGUGGUGUUUUUUGUAGCUUGCCAGCUUCAGUCCAUAUUCUGUCAUUAUACUGAAAAGGGUAGCCAGGAUAUUCAAAAAUUUGAACAGAUACGAAGAAAAUGUAAUUAUUGGAUAACCUUUUUUUUUUAAGAUUGUUUUUAUUUUGCAGGUGUUGGACUGUUUACUGCGCUAAUGGAACAGAUGGAGAUGUACAAAACAAAAGAGCAUGGCUUUGAAAUGAAACUCAAAGAGGAAGCUCACACACAGAGGAAAAUGUUGGAUGAGACCCAGAAAUUUAGAGCCAGACUGCAAGAAUGUCAGAGACGAGUGCAAGACAUGUGCAUUGCAGACACAGUGCUGAUGGAAAUAUCUGGACUGCAGGACAUGAAUUUGAGUCCUUCACUCAGCUGGGUUCAGGAGCAUUCGCUUUCUGUGCUCAACCUCCUGCACAGAGUACUGCAGAAUGCUGCUCAGAGCUUACAGACAGCAGGGGUUGAUGUGUCAUUAAAGAAUGGAGGAGUAUCGGGUGCCUUACAGAUUUUGUGCCAGGACCACAUGGAUGUCCAAUCAGAGCUAAGAAAACUAAAGUCAGAGAUGCAGAGCAGAGAUCUUCACAGUAGGCUGGAGUUCAUGCAAAAGCAGAUUGAUAUGGAGAAACUUCAGGCAGCCGAGGGACAGAGAGAGAUGAAAAACACACUAAUGUGACAGCUGGAAGAGGUCAUGGCUGAUCUACAGUCAGUGAGACAAACAGAGGUGAGUUAAAACUAACAACUGAAUUCAUCCACAAAAGAAAAAUGCAAUUGACCACAACUCUCAAAACAUGCUCUUGACACAUUAGAAAGUCCAU
ensembl:lncRNA